rnacentral:rRNA from 1 species
UACGGGGGGGGCAAGCGUUGUUCGGAAUUACUGGGCGUAAAGGGCGCGUAGGCGGCCUGCUAAGUCACACGUGAAAUCCCUCGGCUCAACCGGGGAACUGCGUGUGAUACUGGCGGGCUUGGAAUUCGGGAGAGGGAUGUGGAAUUCCAGGUGUAGCGGUGAAAUGCGUAGAUAUCUGGAGGAACACCGGUGGCGAAGGCGGCAUCCUGGACCGAGAUUGACGCUGAGGCGCGAAAGCGUGGGGAGCAAACAGG